ACGCUGUCUGGCAGAGGAGACACCAUGAUCAAGAAGGCAGUUCACUCAGGCCGAGGCUCGUCCAUUGCACUCUGGCUGUGCUGACCCCUGCGAAUUCCCCAAAUGUGGGAAUCUCGACUGCAUAAUUUAUGGUAGUGGCGGACUGCGUUCGCACUCUCCCCUG
ensembl:snRNA U1 U1 spliceosomal RNA